CUUGUACUCCCUGCGUCCGAAAAUACUUGUCAUUGAAAUGGAUGUAUCUAGAUGUAUUUUAGUUCUAGACACAUCCAUUUUGAUGACAAGUAAUUCCGGAUGGAGGGAGUACUUG
rnacentral:pre_miRNA from 1 species